rnacentral:rRNA from 1 species
AUUGAACGCUGGCGGCAGGCCUAACAAAUGCAAGUCGAGCGAGCGGCGGACGGGUGAGUAAUGUAUGGGGACUGCCCGCUAGAGGGGGAUAACUACUGGAAACGGUAGCUAAUACCGCAUACUAUCGGAUAACCCAUAUGGGAUUAGCUAGUAGGUGAGGUAAUGGUUCACCUAGGCGACGAUCCCUAGCUGGGCUGAGAGGAUGAUCAGCCAACCUGGGAACGAGACACGGCCCCAACUCCUACGGAGGCCGCAGUGGGGAAUAUUGCACAAGGGGCGCAAGCCGUAUGCAGCCAUGCCGCGUUGAUGAAGAAGGCCCUAGGGUUGUAAAGGACUUUCAGUCGGGAGGCGUUACCGACAGAAGAAGCACCGGCUAACUCCGUGCCAGCAGCCGCGGUAAUAC